AUUUAUGGAGAGUUUGAUCCUGGCUCAGGACGAACGCUGGCGGCGUGCUUAACACAUGCAAGUU
rnacentral:rRNA from 1 species